UAUUAUUUUAGAUGUAAAUUAAUUAAACUUGAGUAGUAAUAGAUGAGGUCUUGAAACUUAAAGAAUUUGGCGGUAUUUUAGUCUAUUUAGAGGAAUCUGUCCCGUUAUCGAUAACCCACGCUGGACCUUACUUAAUUUAUUAAAUAUGUAUAUCGCCGUUGUUGAAAAUCUUUUUAGAGUAAUAAUUUUUUAAAAAUUUGUUUUAUAAUCUUUCAGGUCAAGGUGCAGUUUAUGAUUAAGUGGAGAUGGAUUACAAUAUUUUAAAGUAUACGAAUUAUUAUUUGAAAUUAUAGUGAUAUGAAGGUGGAUUUAAUAGUAAUGUUAUGAAGAUUGUUAAUAUGAUUAUAGCUCUAAAAUAUGCACACAUCGCCCGUCGCUCUCGCUGUGGAAAUUUAAAGGAG
rnacentral:rRNA from 1 species